CUAAAAUUAAAAGAAACAGUUAUUCCUCUGCAAUUAUUUCAAAUAUUAUGGUGUCAGCUGCACUGGAAACUUGUGGGACUUGCUGAUGUAUGGCCUCAUUUGACCAGCCUGGUCCUGCCUCCAGAGAGCAGAAAGUAUGAGAGCAAAAACCAAGGAGCUGUGGACUUCCCCUCUUACAGAAAGGACAUUUUUCAGGAAUUUGCCUAAGAAGGUGAGACUAACCAGGCUGAUUGCUGUUAACUGAAAAUAAUUUUCUACUUGUCUGAGAAUAAGUGAACACCAAAAAUAACCUACAUGGAUUUCACAGGAAAUGUUGAUGACUAUGAAACUUGUUUUGAAGAGAUUUGUUUAUAUUCAUAAAUAUUUUUAUUCACAAAUGAACUUUUUUAUUAACAAGCUUGCUAAACUGUGGCAGCUUAAAUGACACUUGCGUGUGUGGUGGUAUUCCCUCAUAAGGAUGUUAUUUAUCCUUUGAAGAUUUGUAGUUUAGCUCCUAACAGAUUAUAAAAUAGAAAGCUGUGUACAGCCUGCAAGCAAGUUAUUGGACUUCCAAUUAAUAUUUAACUUCAGUUGCUAUUUUUUUGGAGUCACUGUGUGACUUCAUAAAAACAUGCAGAUUUACAUUUCUAAAUGAGAUUUAAAUUAUAAUCUUACUUUUAGUGCAACACCAGUGACUGCUGUUAUUUAAAAAUUCCUGGCAGAAAAAGCUUUGCUUGUUAUUACAGAAGAUUGGAUUUAUUGACCCAUUCUUCUACUCC